rnacentral:rRNA from 1 species
GACGAACGCUGGCGGCGUGCUUAACACAUGCAAGUCGAGCGGUAAGGCCCUUUUGGGGGUACACGAGCGGCGAACGGGUGAGUAACACGUGGGUGACCUGCCCUCAGCUCUGGGAUAAGCCUGGGAAACUGGGUCUAAUACUGGAUAUGACCUUUCCUCGCAUGGGGUUGGUGGAAAGUUUUUCGGCUGGGGAUGGCCCGCGGCCUAUCAGCUUGUUGGUGGGGUGAUGGCCUACCAAGGCGACGACGGGUAGCCGGCCUGAGAGGGCGACCGGCCACACUGGGACUGAGACACGGCCCAGACUCCUACGGGAGGCAGCAGUGGGGAAUAUUGCNCAAUGGGCGGAAGCCUGACGCAGCGACGCCGCGUGGGGAUGACG